rnacentral:rRNA from 1 species
GACGAACGCUGGCGGCGUGCUUAACACAUGCAAGUCGAACGGAAAGGCCCUGCUUUUGUGGGGUGCUCGAGUGGCGAACGGGUGAGUAACACGUGAGUAACCUGCCCUUGACUUUGGGAUAACUUCAGGAAACUGGGGCUAAUACCGGCUAGGAGCUCCUGCUGCAGGGUGGGGGUUGGAAAGUUUCGGCGGUUGGGGAUGGACUCGCGGCUUAUCAGCUUGUUGGUGGGGUAGUGGCUUACCAAGGCUUUGACGGGUAGCCGGCCUGAGAGGGUGACCGGCCACAUUGGGACUGAGAUAAGGCCCAGCCUCCUACGGGAGGCAGCAGUGGGGAAUAUUGCACAAUGGGCGGAAGCCUGAUGCAGCCACGCCGCGUGCGGGAUGACGGCCUUCGGGUUGUAAACCGCUUUCGCCUGUGACGAAGCGUGAGUGACGGUAAUGGGUAAAGAAGCACCGGCUAACUACGUG